CGGUGUAAAAAAUAUAAUAUUGAAGCUGAAAUGGAAGAACUUGAAGAUUUUAAGAAUGACAAUGAUAUUCACAAGAGCAGUUAAUGGCGUUGCUGAAAAGAUCCUCUUACAAACCUUUUUGUCUUAUGACAAUUUAUGUUAUAAUAUCUCAGUUGUCGGGUUCAUCGGUUAUUUUCAUGUGGACAGUUGAUAUAUUGGAGGUUAGAGGUUUACUUGGAGGGAUAUCAAUAUCAAAUUUAAAUUUAUUUAUAUUCUGUUCUAAUAUAUGUUAUCCAUAUGUGAGAGACGGUCUUGGUUUUUCAAAUACAAUCCUUGCUUUCGGCGUU
rnacentral:misc_RNA from 1 species